rnacentral:rRNA from 1 species
CGGAGGGUGCGAGCGUUGUUCGGAAUUAUUGGGCGUAAAGCGCGUGUAGGCGGCUCCUUAAGUCUGAUGUGAAAGCCCCGGGCUCAACCUGGGAAGUGCAUUGGAAACUGGGGAACUUGAAUACGGGAGAGGGUAGUGGAAUUCCUGGUGUAGGAGUGAAAUCCGUAGAUAUCAGGAGGAACACCGGUGGCGAAGGCGGCUGCCUGGGCCGAUAUUGACGCUGAGACGCGAAAGCGUGGGGAGCAAACAGGAUUAGAUACCCUGGUAGUCCACGCCGUAAACGAUGAGUACUAGGUGUUGCGGGUAUUGACCCCUGCAGUGCCGCAGCUAACGCAUUAAGUACUCCGCCUGGGAAGUACGGUCGCAAGACUA